rnacentral:rRNA from 1 species
GAAUUUUGGACAAUGGGCGAAAGCCUGAUCCAGCAAUGCCGCGUGCAGGAUGAAGGCCUUCGGGUUGUAAACUGCUUUUGUACGGAACGAAAAGCUUUGGGUUAAUACCGCCGGGUCUUGACGUUACCAGGAGAAGCAGCACCGGCUAACUCCGUGCCCGCAGCCGCGGUAAUACGGGGGGUGCGAGCGUUAAUCGGAAUUACUGGGCGUAAAGCGCGCGUAGGCGGUGGCGUGAGUCGGGCGUGAAAGCCCCGGGCUUAACCUGGGAAUUGCGUUCGAUACUGCGCUGCUAGAGUCUGGGAGAGGGAAGGGGAAUUCCGGGUGUAGCGGUGAAAUGCGUAGAUAUCCGGAGGAACACCAGUGGCGAAGGCGCCUUCCUGGCCCAAGACUGACGCUGAGGUGCGAAAGCGUGGGGAGCAAA